rnacentral:tRNA from 1 species
AUUCUGAUAGCUUAUAUAGAGCAUUACACUGAAGUUGUAAAGGAAAUAAUUUUAUUUUAGGAUA